UUAAUACUAAAUAGGAUAUAGAUUUGAUAUGUCAUAAAUAUUAUUUUGAUAUAAAAAUGUUAUCACUCAAUAUGAAGUUGUAGAAUUUAAAUCGAGUUUAUUAUGAUGACAUAGAUAGUUAAACUGUAUUACAAAAUUGAAUGGUGUAAGAUACAAAUUUGUU
rnacentral:sRNA from 1 species